CUUUAAAACUAUACUAAAAUAGAUCAUUCAAGCUGCUCCCAGAAACACACAAGAUAAAAUUCAGAAAGGCGAGGAUUUACCUCUCACCUGCAGCAGGAGCUGAACUGUGAAAUUUCUGUGGCAUCUUAAACGAAAAAAAGAAGUUGGGAUGAACUUGACCAGGUAUUUCUUCGUUUUGCAAAAUAUCAGCUGCAUUCACCAUGGCUCUUCAGAACUUUCAUCAGACACCUAGUUUUAUCUUUAAAGAUCUGGUGUUAUCUUCCGCUGCCUUUGCAAGAAUGCUAUGAAUGCAGAAGAUUAAAACAACGAGAGUGCUGCUCUUCAGUUCAAAAGACUGCUCCCACCAAACACUGUGUGGGUUUUUUACCUUAUUCUCCAGAAAAAAAAAGAAAAGAAAAAAAAAAAAAAGAAUAAU
ensembl:lncRNA